GGCCGGUGGCCGGGCCUUCGGCGGUCGGCGGCUUCCGGGCGGCCGCCGGCCGGGGCGUUGCCACGGUGCCGUUCGUGAUCGGUUUC
rnacentral:tRNA from 2 species